UACAGAGGUCUCGAGCGUUGUUCGGAUUCAUUGGGCGUAAAGGGUGCGUAGGUGGCGCUGUAAGUCGGGUGUGAAAUCCUGAGGCUUAACCUCGGAACUGCAUUCGAUACUGCGGUGCUUGAGGACUGGAGAGGAGACUGGAAUUCAUGGUGUAGCAGUGAAAUGCGUAGAGAUCAUGAGGAAGACCAAUGGCGAAGGCGGGUCUCUGGACAGUUCCUGACACUGAGGCACGAAGGCCAGGGGAGCAAACGGG
rnacentral:rRNA from 1 species